rnacentral:rRNA from 1 species
AGAGUUUGAUCAUGGCUCAGAACGAACGCUGGCGGCAGGCCUAACACAUGCAAGUCGAACGAGUAAGAGCCGUAGCAAUACGGAGUUCUGCUAGUGGCGCACGGGUGAGUAACGCGUGGGAACGUGCCUUGGAGUUCGGGAUAACAGUUGGAAACGACUGCUAAUACCGAAUAUUCCCUCAGGGGGAAAGAUUUAUCGCUCCAAGAUCGGCCCGCGUAAGAUUAGGUAGUUGGUGGGGUAAUGGCCUACCAAGCCUACGAUCUUUAGCUGGUCUGAGAGGACGACCAGCCACACUGGAACUGAGACACGGUCCAGACUCCUACGGGAGGCAGCAGGUGGGAAUAUUGGACAAUGGGCGAAAGCCUGAUCCAGCCAUGCCGCGUGUGUGAAGAAGGCCUUCGGGUUGUAAAGCACUUUAAGCGAGGAGGAAGGUUCGUUACUUAAUACGUAACGGAAUUGACGUUACUCGCAGAAUAAGCACCGGCUAACUCUGUG